CCCCCUUACUUAUAUUCCCUAUCAAAAAAUGUUCGUUUUUAGAAUAAAGUACAAAGAACCUCUGAAGGAUUUGCCUUCAACUGCAAUUAUAUUGUAUGCUGGCGAAACAAAACUAUACAUAGCCGCUGCAUGUUUAUGUACCUGUCCUGAUUGAUUCAGGGGCCUGUCGACUCGUUCAGCAGUUAUCUUUUGUAGAUGUGGUUCAUUGGUAUUUUCCCGUUUGGAUAUAUAAAUU
rnacentral:lncRNA from 1 species